UACCCUAAUGGUGAUUAUCAACGGCGAUGAUCUUUGAACGACUGAGAAAUUUCAACAACACUGUCAAUGGGAAACAGCAACGCUUCAAAUUGCGCGUAGUGUUAAUUGAAGACAUUCAGGCGAUGAUUACACGAAAUAAACUCACUUGGCUACGAAGAUUCAGAUCUGUUGGAUCGAAAUGGUGACUGGUCAAUCAUUAUAAACCUAACGAAAUAUGAUACAAAAUAUUAUGCAAACUAUGGUCAGAAUGUAAGUCAAUCUUGAAAUUUGUGGUGUCCAUUCGAUGAAUAACUUUCCAUGGAACAUGUUGGAACAUUUUCUGCAAGUUUGAAACUUUCUCCUACAAGAUUAACUUAAAAAUUUCAACCGAGUUAUCUUUGAUUUUUAAUUAAUGAACAUUAUGUUUUGUUUUGUAUCAUCAUCACAACUUUACCACCAAUGGCGAUCUGAAUCAACAAAAUUGUGCAUCACUUCUCAACUUGAUUAACAAUGGCCGGAUGAGCUUGGAAUCAUAAUCGUUAAUUAUGCGUUAAUACGCCAAUUAAAAUAUCAUCAUACAUUUACAAUUCAUAUCAAUUGAUAAUUGAUAAUUGUAGGUUAUUGGAAUCAUCAUAAUCAUCAUCAGCAUUACUGAUUAGGAAGAUGGAGUGAAGGAGGAAAAAGAGGCAAGUUGCAAGAAAAAAGAAAGUUGAAACAGUAAAGAAACCAUCAAUUUGUUGAAAUCCAGAUUUAAUCAAAGUUAAAUCAAGUUAGAUUGUAGUUGAAUAGGCCAGAACGGAGAAGAACCAGUAAAAUAAGAUGAUAAUAAAGAACGAAGAAGGAGAAAGUCAACCAACCAAGCAACCAGCGAACCAACAAAAAAAGAUUAUUUCAUUAUCAACACAGCGUAGGACAACUCCCACAAUAAAUUAGAUAAUUACAUUUACUCUCCACAUCAGCAUAACCUCUGACGAUUUACGGUCACUAAUCAAACGUGUCUGAACGCGAGGAUCGUCCUCAUUCAAAUAUUCAAACUCUUCCUCAAUGUGCUUACAACUUGGCCUUUUCUGGUUAUUAUUCUUACCAUUUUCCUUCAAGAUUUACUGGGAUAAUCAAUGGCACGAUUGGAUUUAUUGUGUGCAUGUGUAUGAGAAACCUUCAAACUGGAAAGCGGUCAAGAGAUUUAGGGAUGGAGAAAAGCUAAUCAUGAUAUUGAUGCUAAAAGUGAUAGUUGCAAGAAUCUGAUGAUAAAAGAAGAAGAACAAAAAAAAUGUUGAAAAAGAUUUGGUAAAACUGAAAAGCAAAGAAAAGAAGAAGAAGAAGAAAAAAAUAAAAGAAGAAAGUAACUCAAAUCCUGUUCUGGUUAAUCAAACAAGUAAUGAUGUAAAGAAUUGAUGAAGAUAAGAUGACCAAUUGGAAAGAUUGAUGGGGUUGAGAGAUGAUUGUUUGUUUUGCUCUUAAAUAUUAUGACAGUAAUCUAUGCCUGUUGAUAAUUGAGUGAAUCUAAUUUCAUUUAAAUUAGUAAUCUUCAAUAUGAUUCUCGAUUCAUCAAGCAUCCCGAAACCAAAUAAUGAGGAUAAACCUUAUAUGGAAACGUAAAUGAUGAUGGUGAUGAUGAAACUUUUUUUUACCAAAACAAGAUCAAAUGAAAGUGAAUUCUGAUCAGGAAAAGGUGGAAAGUCAACUUGAAAGAAACCCAUUUAUGGAAAUGAAAUUGAUUAUAAAUAUUGCAGCAUCGAAGGUCGCUUUACUCGAUGCAAUUGUGUUCACCAGUUUCGUCUCGUUGCUCUCUUUCCAUAUCAAAAUGCCCACUUAAAGAUUUUCAUCAAUUUAUGAUUAUCAUCAUCAUAAUUAUCAGUUCUGGUUUUGAUGGAUUUCAAAUGGUAAAGAAUGAUGACGAUAAUAACAAAUAAGUUUUUUUGUCAAAACUCUCAUGAACAAAUUGGUCCAAGGUUAGACUGGAGAUAAAAUUGGAUCCAUUAUAUCUCAGUUUGAUACUUUGUUGCUGAAAAAGGUUGCCAUUCGUAUAUAAGACUCUGAAUUAAGAAUGAGAAUCUUGUUUUACUUUUUCUUGGUCACAGUAAUCAUUACUUCAGCAUUUACUUUCCUCUUUUUUACUAUUUUUCAAGAGUUCUUGUGUUUCCCUUGACUUCAGCCAAUUGAUGGUAUAAAUUUUGAACAAUUUAUCUCUAUUCUCUCUUCUCUUCUCUUUUUUACUCUUCUCUUCUGAUUAAAUAGUAAUAUUGGGUAUUUGAUUGGUUGAGAGGUUACUACAAAUUGUUCAAUUUGUUACCUGUAAUAUCAGUUUAACCAUGGGAGAGAUGCUUUAAUAACAGGAAGGUGAAGAUGGAUUCAAUGAUGAUGAAAAAACAACAACAAGUAAAAACAACAAGUCCAAUGGUGAUAAUAAUUUUAUUAUUAUCAACAAAAGAGUUUCAUUGUUUCUGGUUUCUCAAUUAUCAUUGAGUUUUGAAAGAUGGUUUUGCAGCAAGUUUUUUAAGUUAUCACUUGCAACGUUGCCAUUAUUUUACUUUACACAAUCAAUGAUGAAAACGAUGAUUUCUCUGGUUAAAAUGGUUGCUUUAUGCUUUUAACCUGAAAGAUUUAACAAAAUAUACAUAAUUUUUGAAUGAUGAUUCCCACUCGUUGUUGACUCGCUGGUGCUUCGGUUGUUGACCUUAACUUACAUGAGAUCAGGUAUGACAACUUACUGGACCUGACAGUAAUACUUGAAGAGUCAUUGACUUGAGAGAAAGAGGAUGAUGAUGAUGAUGAUGAUGGCAUUGGUGAGCCUGAUGUUACUGAGAAGAGAUGAAGAGUCUUCUAAGUUGCUUAAGUUAAUCCUCAACUAACAGAUGAUUAAUGGGUAAAUCAACCAUGAGGAUAUCAACAUCGCCAUCAACAUCAAAAUCAUCAUCGGCGUCAUCAAUUGUUACUCUUUAAUCUUUAAGUGAAUCUUUAGCAACAGUGAAUUAUGGUCUGUUUGUGUGUUAUAUAUGGAAAGAGAACAGAAACAGAACCAGAUUUAGUUCUUUCUAAUUUCAGUAUUUUGACAGUAUAAUUGUCAUUUAUUUCACCUUGAUAAUCAAGCAAAUUACUUUUCGUUUGUCUGCAAUUUUAUUGUUAUUUGAUUGUCACUUGCUUGUUGGCGGUCAAUUAAUUUGAUUGCAACGCUUUUGAUUCUGUCUCUUUUUUUCACUUUUCACUUGUGAUUCUGUUGCAAAAAUUGAAUUUAACGACUAGUUAAUUAAUUCAAUUGAAUGAUUAACAGUUUAGAGAUGAGCAAACCCGGAGAAAAGGGAAGAACAGAUAAGAGCAAAAAUCUGGUUUACCUGUAAUUGGCCUGGAAAGAGUUAAACGCCAGAUCAGUAUUUUUGUUACUUUUUUUCUUGCAAGAUGCUGCUGAUGACUACUAUUAACAUGAUGAAGAUGAUUAC